rnacentral:rRNA from 1 species
GAUAAACGCUGACAGCAUGCUUAACACAUGCAAGUCGAUGAUGGGAGCUAGCUUGCUAGAAGAAGUCAUGGCGGACGGGUGAGUAACGUGUAAAGAACUUACCAUAUAGACUGGGAUAACAGAGGGAAACUUCUGAUAAUACUGGAUAAGUUAGUAGUAGCAUUACUAAGUAAUGAAAGGUAGCAAUACGCUAUAUGAGAGCUUUGCAUCCUAUUAGCUAGUUGGUGGGGUAAAAGCCUACCAAGGCGAUGAUAGGUAGCCGGCCUGAGAGGGUGGACAGCCACAAGGGGACUGAGAUACGGCCCUUACGCAUACGGGAGGCAGCAGUGGGGAAUAAUGGACAAUGGAGGCAACUCUGAUCCAGCAAUUCUGUGUGUGUGAAGAAGGUUUUAGGACUGUAAAACACUUUUAGUAGGGAAGAAAGAAAUGACGGUACCUACAGAAGAAGCGACGGCUAAAUACGUG